rnacentral:snRNA from 1 species
GAUCAAAGUGUAGUAUCUGUUCUUAUCAGCUAAAUAUCUGAUACGGUCCCUAUAUGGGCCCAGAAUAUUAAACUGAUUUUUGGAAACCGGGGGGAUGUCUGGGGCUUGCUCCGCUCCCUCCACGCGUUGGC